UACGUAGGUGGCAAGCGUUGUCCGGAAUUAUUGGGCGUAAAGCGCGCGCAGGCGGUUUCUUAAGUCUGAUGUGAAAGCCCACGGCUCAACCGUGGAGGGUCAUUGGAAACUGGGGAACUUGAGUACAGAAGAGGAGAGCGGAAUUCCACGUGUAGCGGUGAAAUGCGUAGAGAUGUGGAGGAACACCAGUGGCGAAGGCGGCUCUCUGGUCUGUAACUGACGCUGAGGCGCGAAAGCGUGGGGAGCAAACAGG
rnacentral:rRNA from 1 species